CAAACCAAACAAACACUUAAUCUUUCAUGAUUUUGCCUACCAACUAUUUUCCUUAACGCCCUUGAUUGCCUUUUAAUUAAAAACACAAUUUCAUCUCCGUCCCGGUUUUUCUCGUUAAAAAAGGAAUCAUUCGUUGGCUACACAGAAAACCAAAAAGUUGCUUCACAAAUAGCCAACUACCUCGAUGAUGAACCACCCCUACACCCACUAUCCACCCAUAAACGAAUAAAGGCUUCAACCGAAGGUGGAAUUCAACUCAGAC
rnacentral:lncRNA from 1 species